rnacentral:sRNA from 1 species
GGAAAGAGAAGUGCCAGAAGUCUCAUUUACAGGCCGUGUACUUCCAAAGUGUAUUGCGUAAGUUGAAAUGUUUUGAAUUUCUGAGUAUCCAAUAUUUUAAGAGACCCAAAGAAAUAUAGUUUUACCUUUUAUUGCAAUCAAUGUUCGUACUGCAACACCAACAUCGAUUUUUUGAAUGUUCACUUCUACUACGAACAUGCCAAAAGAGAGCAACUGAGCAAUUUGGAAUUGUAAGUGGUUUUUGAUCCAAACUGAACCCCUUUUCUUUUUCAUUUCUAAACAAACGUUGCAUUCCGUGAGACUGCUCCGUUCACUUUACAUAUAGUAUUAAAUGAGAAAUUUUUUUUCAAAAAGUUCCAUGGACACUUUCAGAACAUAAAAAUUGUAAAACAAUCAUUGUUCAAAGGUCCUCUUCAAAUGGUCAAUGUUUUAUUAAAGGUGGUUAAAAACCACUUAUAUGGUCCCAAAAUGACAGAAUAUCAUGAUAAAACUUUUCAAAAAAAUUUGGAAAAAUUUUUAUUUACUGUCAAAAAGUGGCAAUUACUCAGUUUUUGCCACUCAUAAUUUUGGAAGUCGACCAAAAAAACUUAUUUUCGACUUUUUUAAUGCUUUAAUUUUGUUUAAAUUAUUUGUAUUAAAACAUUGUAGGGGUCGAAACAUACCUACAUUGCUUUGGAUUCCCUCAAAAGCUCGUAUUUUUUAAAAUUUUGGUAAAUUGCCAAAAAUUUGAAAAGUAUGAGAUUUUGGGGAAAUCCAAAGCAAUGUAGAAUGUUUCGACCCCUACAAUGCUUUAAUACAAAUCAUUUAAACAAAAUAACAGUAUAAAAAAAGACAGAAAUUUUUUUGGUCAACUUCCAAAAUUAUGAGUGGCAAAAACUGAGUAAUUGCCACUUUUUGACAGUAGAUAAAAAAAUUUCAAAAAUUUUUUGAAAAGUUUUAUUAUGAUAUUCGGUCAUUUUGGCAUCAUGUGAGUAGUUUUUAACACUUUCCCCAGUGGUACUACUCCACCUUUAACUUGAACUUGGCGAGCAAACCAAGGUGUGUAGCCGGAAAAAGGUAAUUUUAAAUUAGCUUUUUUGCAGAAUUGAAAAAAAUCAUAAAACAAUUUACACGACACAUUUUAUAAAUUUUCUGACCGUUAUAUCUGAUCAUUCCGAAUUAUUCGAUUAUCUGUCAUUUAAAGCUUUCAAGAAAUCACUAAUCGACUCUAUUGCACCCUUAAACUUAAUUAGUUUAGUUAACGUUAUUAUUAGUUUAUAUUCACUUAAAUUCAUUUAAAAAUAUUUCGUCGCAUUCAUCAAAUGGAAAUUAGGUGCAGAAACGCAGGAAACUCAAGAAAAGUUAUUUAUUUCACAUUGUUGUCUAGUCGCUAUGAUAUACAAAUGUUAAUUCGUACAUGCAUCAUGUUCAGUAAAAUUAUUGGCAUUAUAUAUAUAUACUAAAGUUUUAAAAUAAAAGAAAUCUUCAGAGAAUCUUCCCAACGAGAACGUCUUGUCGCGCUGGCUAAUGAUCUUACAGGCCUAUGUGACAACUUCAAAUAUGUGAGUCUUACUUUUGUUAAUGUUAAAGAGAUUAUUUCCAUUACAGACCAAACCGUUCCACAAAGAUCUGGAACACUGCGAUACUUGGAGUUUUUGGUCUCUAGAAGUAUGUUGAACGUGCUCUUGUUGCUUUUUUCAAUUGAUUCUCUUUUUCAGGGGCUUUACAAUUACGACAUGGAAUCUCUUGCAAGAAUGGCGCGCGAAAAUGCUGGAAUCGAGAUAGGAG